rnacentral:misc_RNA from 1 species
GAUGAAGAACGUAGCGAAAUGCGAUACUUGGUGUGAAUUGCAGAAUCCCGUGAACCAUCGAGUCUUUGAACGCAAGUUGCCCCCGAAGCCAUUAGGCCGAGGGCACGCCUGCCUGGGCGUCACACGUCGUUGCCCCCCCAUCUACUCCUUCGGGAUUGCGGGGGGCGGAUGAUGGCCUCCCGUGCGCCUCGUCGCGCGGUUGGCAUAAAUGCCAAGUCCUCGGCGACGCACGCCACGACAAUCGGUGGUUGCGAAACCUCGGUUGCCCGUCGUGUGCGGUCGUCGCGCAUCGAGGGCUCGAAAAAAUUGCCGGGCUCCGGCUCGGCUUUCAACGCGACCCCAGGUCAGGCGGGGUUACCCGCUGAAUUUAAGCAUAUCAAUAAGCGGAGGA